CACACAGAAUGAGCCAGAUCGCCAUGCUGGGCAGAGCAGGAGAAGAGGUGACCCUCACGGCGCCUCCCAGGCAGUCGGCUUCAGCUCAAUCAUGAAUUACGACAAGGACAGCACAGGUGUCGUGUCUGCGCGAUGCACAGGCCGGACGCAACCAGAUUCUACUUUUUCCUGUAUCUACGACCCAUUUACUGCCUCACCCAGAAUGAAGAUAACCUCCUGAGAAGUGAAAGCCUUCGACACGUCAUCCUCAUCAUCGAGAGGACCCACUUUUGUUAAGGGGAUGGAAUGGAUGAGCUACAGAAAAAAGUUCUCCAGGUUAAAGCACUUACUCAGUGGAGGCCCCAUCAUCGCCUGAAACACUUCACCUCAUUCAAAGAAGAGAUAGCCCACAUCUACCUGCAAGUUUUACAUGAUGGGACUUUAAGGUAAUGGGUUCUGCCUCAGGUAACACAGGUAGAAAUAGAAUCGCAGGAGAGGAUUCUCGAAUGCUGACCACAAGGCGUGGGGGUGAACUGCCUGGGUCGGGGGGGGGGGGCGGCGAAGGGCUGGGAUAGAACAGGUGGGAUGCUGUCCAGCUAGAGGUCCCUCGGAGGACAGCUGGUCCAGCAGCGGCACGUCGCAAGCAAAGCCCACGCAUCAUUUGUUGCUCUAGAGUAACAUAAAAUACAAGAUACAGCAUCUGCUCUAGUAGGGUGGUGAGGGAGGGAGGGGGCACCAACGGGGGCGGGGGGGAGGAUGCACUGACGAGUACCAGCUAUUGUCACUAUGAAGAACCAAUAGAAGGUGGAUUGCAAAUAGAUCCCCACUGGGAGUCAUGUAAAAUUCAAGGAAAUCUGCUUUGGCACCGUCUUGCGACAGCAUACGUAUGCAGCAGCAGAUGAGUAAA
rnacentral:lncRNA from 1 species